AUUAAUUUGGCUUAGUGGUUCAGCUUCUGUAAACUCUUUGGUCCUGUGUUCGAGCCUGAUUUGGUGGGUAGUUGUGGGUAAGUGUUAUUUGAUUUUAGAUUUGAUUUUUCAAAUUUUAUCCAAAAUAUUCCAGAAAAAAAAAUUGCUCCCUUUUUCCUUUUGCCCCAAGCUCCUUUUCACAUUAUUUUUGUUUCAUUUCUCCUCUUAUUCUCAUUUUUCUUUUCUUUCCUUGCUUCUUAUUCUUGAAAUUUUAUUCUUGUGUUCUAUCAUCUCUAUUGCUCUACGUUUCGUCGUGUCGCUAUUCUGUCGAUUGAUUUUGUGAGAGGAACGUGUGGCGUUAGACGAACCUCCAACGAAUUAAGUCUUCUUAUUAGUUUGGGUUUCUGUUAUUCUCAUGGUAAAUAUGCGUAUAUGGAAUUUGGGGCUCUUUUCCCUUAAGAAAAGAUUGGAUUUAAUUGGAUUUAGUGUAACUAAAUCAAAGUUGUAAUUGUUGUGUUUUGGUGUCGUUUUUAGGAUUCAAAGUACUCAUUUGAGUAGUGAAUCAAAAUUAGUACUAGGUAAUUAUUGUUUGAAACUUGAGAAAAUUGCAAAAAAAGGGAUGUUUUUUAAACUAUCCAGCACCACACGACUGUGUGGUAGGUCGUGUGGAGCACACGGCUGUGUGGAUUACACGGGCUAGCUUAUUGGGUCGUGUAAGCCUUUUGGGCCAAUUUUAAGGCCCAAUUAGGGGCCAAAUAAGGGACUUGAAAAUUGAGCCCGUGAAUAUCAUGUAGGCCCAAAAAAGCAUAAGUUUUAGUACGUAUAUACUCAAGGGUCAGCCUAGGAAAUAUGUUAACUAAGUUUGAUUGUAUAUAAACUAUAUGUUAUAUUGUGUUCUCUAUAAGAAAAGAUGUGUAUGCAUGACGUAGGACUUAUGAUAUAUGUAUAUAUGAUAUUAUAACCAUGUUUAUGUUUAUGUUUUGGGGUAAAAUGUGACAUGAUAGAGGAAGUGCUAUAUGGCGAUUUUUACUGCAACUGCAAAACUUCUGUUUGGCAGCUUAGCUGCGUAUUUAUCAGUGGCAUACCGCAACAUAUAGGUGUGAUUAGAUGGAUGGACUUUUGUAGUCUUAUUUUAUGUGAUUGGUUGGACGAAGAUGAUGUAUAACAAAUGGGGGUAGUAUAUGAUAUGAUAUGAUACGAUAUGAGUUAUGAUAAGAUAAGAUAUUAAAUGUACUAUGACAUGAUAUGAAAUAUGAUAUGAUAAAAAUAUGAUAUAA